rnacentral:rRNA from 1 species
CAGGUCUUGAGAUCUAGUGCAAUCUGUAGAGAUACGGAGUUCCCUUCGGGGACGCUAAGACAGGUGGUGCAUGGCUGUCGUCAGCUCGUGUCGUGAGAUGUUGGGUUAAGUCCCGCAACGAGCGCAACCCUUGUUAUUAGUUGCCAGCAUUAAGUUGGGCACUCUAAUGAGACUGCCGGUGACAAACCGGAGGAAGGUGGGGAUGACGUCAAGUCAUCAUGCCCCUUAUGACCUGGGCUACACACGUGCUACAAUGGGCAGUACAACGAGAAGCAAGCCUGCGAAGGCAAGCGAAUCUCUGAAAGCUGUUCUCAGUUCGGACUGCAGUCUGCAACUCGACUGCACGAAGCUGGAAUCGCUAGUAAUCGCGGAUCAGCACGCCGCGGUGAAUACGUUCCCGGGCCUUGUACACACCGCCCGUCACACCAUGGGAGACUGCAAUGCCCAAUGCCGGUG